GUGCUCGCUUCAGCACACGUACUAAAAUUGGAAUGAUACAGGGAAUAUUAGCAUGGCUCUUGUGCAAGGAUGACAUGCAAAUUUGCGAAGUGUUCUGUAUUUUA